AGAAGGAAGGAAUGCGUCUGGAGAAGUUGCCCCCGGGGCUCCAGUCUCAAGGUCCCCACCAGAUCUCCAUCGGGACCCUUUCACGACCCCGAGCCCUUUCCCCAGGAGCUCCCAGCAACCUUCGCGCUUCUCCGGAGGGUGGGGUCUGCCGCGGCGCGGGGGCAGCCUCACCCCACCUCACUGCUGGACUCCGGAGAACCAUUUCUGGGACCGGGAGCUGUCCAGCGCCUCGGGUCCUGACGGACCGCUGAUUCGCCUAGGUGCCAUCGGACAAGCGGGUGCUCAGAGCCAGCUCUGGUGGCUCGGGAGCUUUCCCCCAACCAGGCUAAGACCACUAAACCACGCCUGGCCCGGAUGAGCUUGGAUGCAGCUCCGAACGUGGGGAUCCAUCGGUGCUGAGAACUGACCUAGGGAGCACCUUGACCCCUGCCCUAUCUGGGCACAAUUGAAGGGCCAAGUGCCACCAGCCCACUUUCCUGGAACCCUGUCUCAGACUUGGGCAGGAAGAAGAGCCAUGAGAGGUCAGGCCUUGCCUCUCCCCGCGUUCCCCAUCUUUCUCUGUGCCUCUGUUUCUGUUUUCCUCCGGCUCUCCUCCCUCCUCCUCUCUUUCCUUCCCUGCUGGGUUGGGGGCUGCUGAAUUAUCAUUUCUCAGCUCUGCUAAUGUGCUCCCCGCUGCGGGAAGGGAUCAUAAUUCUGGGAGAUGAUUAAGUUUCAAAUUGUUUUUCUUUGUGUUGUUGAAGAUGAGGCUUUAAUAUGGUCCUUCCUCAGCCCGGGAGCCUGCCCCCAUUCCUCCACUCCUAGUACUCUCCUCACUAAUAGGCUAGGUUUGGUACCAUGUCUUUUGUGGUCCUUGCCAAACUUUUAUGUGUAUGGGGUGGUAAACGAGAGGGGUAUAGACCUACCCUUUACUCAAAGGGGAAUUUUUUUGUUUUUGUUUUUUUUUGUUUUUUUUGAGACCGAGCCUCACUCUGUCGCCCAGAUUGGAGUGCAGUGGCGCCAUCUCAGCUCACUGCAACCUCUGCCUCCCGGGUUCAAGUGAUUCUCCUGCCUUAGCCUCCCGAGUAGCUGGGAUUAGAGCUGCGCGCCUCCACGCCUGGCUAUUUUUUUAUAUUUCACUAGAGACAGGUUUCACCAUGUUGGCCAGGCUGGUCUCGAACUCCUGACCUCAAAUAGUCUGCUCGCUUCAGCAUCCCAAAGUGCUGGGAUUACAGGCAUGAGCCACUGUGCCUGGCUAGGAAUACAUUUAAUAUAGUGGUGAGAAACACUGGUUUGGAAGUCGGACAAGUCAACAUUUAAAUCCUGACUCUGCCACUUACUACUCAGGUGACCUUGGAUGAGUUACUUGAACUGUCUGAGCCUCCGUUUCUUCAUCUACUAAAUGGGGAUACUGUGAAUUACCUCAUGGAGUGUUGGUGAGGAUUUAAAGUGAUAAAUCAUGUAAAGUGGUUAGCCGGGUGUACAGCUUAUGGUAAAACUCAGUGAAUGUUAGUAGAUAUUACUACCCACAUACCUUACCCUGUUUGAUCCUGCUUCCCAUAGCCUUCCUGACUUUGUUCUUCUGUUCAAUGUUUAUCUAAUGCCUACUGUUUUCCAGGUACUGUACAAUAGAGAGUAAGUUAUCCAGGAGUGAGGAAGUUGGCUUUCUUACCUAUUUGUUCCUCAAACACCCCUUCCUUUACCUCCUUCCUUCCUUCCUUUCAACUGAAGUUUACUCUCAUUUUACCCUCCCACCGGCUUCCAGUUCUUCCUGCAUUGUUCCUACUCCAUUUUUCCUUCUUUCACUGAUGUCUUAUCACUUCACUUUGAUUCUUAUCCUCCUAAUACACAUACAUUUUUUCACCUUCUACAUUAUUCUUCAUCCCAUUUGGGGCCAUCAUAGUGAAAAAAAGGGCUGAAUUUUCAAACUAGGAAAGAGAAUUCUGUCAUGCUGUGUGUAUGUGUAUAUGUGUGUGUGUGUGUCUGAGGAACACACACAUUAAUUCACAUUCAACAGUAACUCUAUAGCUGACUUCUGAACUCCUACGUUUGAACUGUGUGCUUGUUUGCCUCUCUAUCCCCUCUAUUUAAGCUCUUAAAAUACAAGUCUAUUUCUUUGCCUGCCUACCUGUCUGCUCUGUCCUUGCCUCUCUCUCUUUUGGAAUUUGUUGUUUUAAACAUCUUUAUUGAGAUACAACUGAUAUACAAAGAACUACAUGUAUUUAAUAUGUAUGAUUUGAUGAAUUUGGAUGUCUUUGUUAUAUUCUAAAUGGGAAUGCUUACUGGUUGUUAGUAUGAGAAGCUGAUUUAUGAUAAUGUGUUUUUGUGUUUGCUUAACUGGCCUCCUACCUAUCACCAUACUGGUGAUGGGUUCAGGAUACACUACACCAAAAUGUGGCAACUUGACAUUUGAGAAAACAGCAGAAGCAGGAAGGUCCCUCUCCCUUCUUCCUGGAAGUGGGCCAAAAACCUCUGACCGUCUUCCUCCUUUUCUCCUGAGGUAGAACAUAAAACCCUAAUUCCAGAGGUAUCCUCCCCAUACCCAGAGGAAAGGAGCAUCCUUGUCCUCAAGUUACACAGAGUUACUAAGUAGAAUUUGAACAAAGAGACCUUGCUAAGUUUUCUCCAGUUCACUACCACUAGACUAUACCUCCUUUGUCCAGUCAUACUUCUGCUUGCCUGUCCACUCUUAAUAAGAAUCCCAGUCUGGCCAGGCCUGGUGGCUCACUCCUGUAAUCCCAGCACUUUGGGAGGCCGAGGUGGGCGGAUCACAAGGUCAGGAGUUCAAGACCAGCCUGACCCACAUGGUGAAACCCCAUCUCUACUAAAAAUACAAAAAUUAGCAGGGCGUGGUGUUGCACACCCUGAAAUCCCAGCUACUCAGGAGGCUGAGGCAGGAGAAUCGCUUGAAGCUGGGAGGCGGAGGUUGCAGUGAGCCAAGAUCAUGCCACUGCACUCCAGCCUGGGCAACAGAGCGAGACUCUGUCUCAGAAAAAAAAAAAAAAAAAAAAAAAAAAGAAAAAGAAAAGAAAUCCCAGUCCAUCCAUUAGGGGCU
rnacentral:lncRNA from 1 species